rnacentral:lncRNA from 1 species
UCUAAAGAGUGGGAGAAGCUUAUAUUAAAAAUAAUAUAGCUCUUUUCAUGGACCAAUGUAUAAAUUUUUAUGCUAAAAAUUUAUAAGGUCUUAAAAUAAAAAAAAAUUGGCAUUUUUUUUAAAAUAAAAACAAAACAGGCCUGGAUCCGGGUCGGAUUUUACCCGGAUCCGGCCCCUCUGGGAGCGCAUCAUUGCAUAUGCGCGUGCACCCAGAACCUUGGCCCACGCUCUCAAUCCUAUGACAGUGAUGGCCAAGGUUUUCUAUGCGUCUAUGCGUUCAUGCGAUGGCAUUUUAAGCAUAUAAGUAUAUGCGUGCAUAUACGCGCAUAUACGUAAAUAUGCGACAUGUUAUAUUUACAUGUAUUUUUUAUAAUUACCCCUGAUAUUUCCAUAAUAUAUGAAUAAUAUAAUAUAGCAAAUAGUGUUCCAAUGAUCCAAUAAAGUUUAAAAGUCUAAAUAGUAAAUAGAAAUUGCAUAACAAAGUCUAAAACUAUAUAAUUAAGAUUAAGUGAUUAACAAUAGUCUAAGCCCAAGGACUCUAAGGUCUAAGGAGCUUGCUCAACAUCCUCUUCAACUUCAGCUCCUCUCCUAUUCCUUGUUGAUGGUCCAAUAGGUUCAUUGACACCCAUAGCUACUUCAAUAGACGCCCAAGUUAAACCUUCUUCACCAUAAACAAAUUCAUUUGAAGGACCGUCUUCACCGGUCAUCCAUUCACUACUCCAAUUCAAAUCUUCA